rnacentral:misc_RNA from 1 species
GUCAACUACAUCCCAAGUCUGACCAUUCUGAAAUGCGUGGGCUAGCAUUGGAAGAAUAAGCAUUUGCAUUACAACCACCAAAUGAUCAUGACCAAGUUGUCUAGACUGGAAAAGGUUCAAGAAAUGCAGGAGCAGGGUUCUCUUCAUGUUCGGUGGAUAGCCUUCAGCAACCUCAAUGAUAUAGAACUCCUUCAAGAAGGUAAAAUCUAUACGAGUACGAAAGAGAAAGAUGGAAA